AGCGCUCCGCGCCAUGUGCUUCAAAGGGAACCUUUCCCCUCCGGGCGCUCACGCUGCCUGCCCCAGGCGGCCACACAAUGAGCGGCUCCUCCGAGCCAGGCCUCUGACCCCCGCUGCCCGCCCAGAGGGAAGCCUCCCCUCCGCCCAGAGUGGCUGUGCGGGUCGCGUGUGUGCGCAUGUGCGAGUCUCGCAUGCCCCGGUAGGCUUGGAUGGGAUGCAGAGAUCACAGGAAAGCUCAGACAUGACACAACAUAAUGGACUACAGAGAAAUGGGGGCAGGGCCGACAGGAUGUGAGUUGAAUGCCCUCCCCCGCUGCCAACGUGCUGACCUCGGGAAGUCACCGCAUCCUCUGCAAAUCUGGGAUGUGGGGCUAGGUGCUCUUUAAUCCCGUUCCAGGACCGAGAGGCACUUAAUCGAUUCAGAUGGACCAUAGUCGAGGAGCUGUUCCUUUGCAAGAAGUCCUCUUCUUAAUGACACAGUCAUCGGCCCAUUAUUGACCAAAGGAAGCGAUCCAGCCCAACUCCACCUUUCUGUGGUUCACGGCCCCUUUGGUCUCUUUCAUUAUAAACGCCUUCCAAAG